ACUCCUACGGGAGGCAGCAGUGGGGAAUAUUUGCACAAUGGGCGCAAGCCUGAUGCAGCCAUGCCGCGUGUAUGAAGAAGGCCUUCGGGUUGUAAAGUACUUUCAGCAGUGAGGAAGGUGGAUAUGUUAAUAGCAUAUUCAUUUGACGUUAGCUGCAGAAGAAGCACCGGCUAACUCCGUGCCAGCAGCCGCGGUAAUACGGAGGGUGCGAGCGUUAAUCGGAAUUACUGGGCGUAAAGCGCAUGCAGGUGGUUUGUUAAGUCAGAUGUGAAAGCCCGGGGCUCAACCUCGGAAUUGCAUUUGAAACUGGCAAACUAGAGUACUGUAGAGGGGGGUAGAAUUUCAGGUGUAGCGGUGAAAUGCGUAGAGAUCUGAAGGAUACCGGUGGCGAAGGCGGCCCCCUGGACAGAUACUGACAUCCAGAUGCGAAAGCGUGGGGAGCAAACAGGAUUAGAUACCCUGGUAGGCUCU
rnacentral:rRNA from 1 species